GGCGUGCGCGACGCCCCCUCUUUUUUGGAUGGGGGCGAGGAUACCUGGCUACUCCAGCCCAGAGGGUCUCUGGUUUCCCUGCGAACCCCCUUCCCUGGUGGGGAGGAGCCCUGGACCGAAGGAGAACACACCUAGUCUUGCUUGAGGCUCUGCCAUUAUCGUGGCACUUUGAGCACGGGCCCCUCUUCUAAGCCUCAGCUUCCGAAUCUAUUCAGUGUAGUGCCGUGCAGCACGAGCGGGGGCCUCGGACGUCCACCAUCCGCAAGCAAGUGGCCCUCUACUUCCGUGGACACAAGGAGGAGAACGGGGCGGCCGCGCACUUUCCCUCGGCUGCGCUCCCUGCGCCCGCCUUCUUCACCGCGGUCACGCAGCUGGAGCCGCACGGCCUGGAGCUGGCCGCGGUGUCCACCACUCCUGAGCGGCAGACCCUCGUGAGCCUGGCUCAGCCCACGCCCAAGUACCCCCAUGAAGUGAAUGGGACCCCAAUGUAUCUCUAUGAAGUGGCCACGGA
rnacentral:sRNA from 1 species